UCUGCACCGCCUUUCUGUCCUUAGCUGUGGAGGCUGCGUACCACACACCUAGACAGUAUGUCAGUACGCUCUCCACCAAGGAGUGAUAGAAGGCCAGCAGCAGCUUCGUGUCCAGGUUGUUCUUCCUGAGGACAUGCAGGAAGUAUAGUAUAUAUAUAAU